rnacentral:rRNA from 1 species
AGUGAACGCUGGCGGUAGGCCUAACACAUGCAAGUCGAACGGCAGCACAGUAAGAGCUUGCUCUUACGGGUGGCGAGUGGCGGACGGGUGAGGAAUACAUCGGAAUCUACUUUUUCGUGGGGGAUAACGUAGGGAAACUUACGCUAAUACCGCAUACGACCUACGGGUGAAAGCAGGGGAUCUUCGGACCUUGCGCGAUUGAAUGGGCCGAUGUCGGAUUAGCUAGUUGGCGGGGUAAAGGCCCACCAAGGCGACGAUCCGUAGCUGGUCUGAGAGGAUGAUCAGCCACACUGGAACUGAGACACGGUCCAGACUCCUACGGGAGGCAGCAGUGGGGAAUAUUGGACAAUGGGCGCAAGCCUGAUCCAGCCAUACCGCGUGGGUGAAGAAGGCCUUCGGGUUGUAAAGCCCUUUUGUUGGGAAAGAAAAGCAGCAGGUUAAGACCCCGCUGUUCUGACGGUACCCAAAGAAUAAGCACCGGCGAACUUCGG